CGCACUAUGGGUACUGAACGGCAUAAACUGAACAUUUGUUUUUUAAUUAGUCCGCACUGUCCUCUAAGAAAAAUCAAUGCGUUCGGGCACAACGCGGCGUCGACGAUCAUGACGGGAAUAUUAAGAGUUGCUGUCACCUUUAUAUGCUUAAAGUGUCCUUGGACGUUGCUCCGUAGGAUUCAGCCGCCGCCCGCGAUCGCGCGAUCGAUGUUUUUAAUUUAGAAUUAGGAA